AAGCAGGUUAAGCUCUUCCUACGACUGUUACCUUCACAACCAACGAUACCCCUGCACUUCCCAGAUAACCUCAGGAUGAGGCCCUUCUUCUCCACGAUGCUGCUAGCUCUCGCCCUUGUGCUACUCUGCUCAGGCGUGGCGACGAAGGCAGCGAUAGCAAAGGAAGGGGAUGGUGCCAGGGUGGUACCCAUGGACUGCAAGGUGCUCCCGCCCAAAGCCGGCGCCUGUGACCCUAAGAAAUGCUAUGACGACUGCUCAAACGCCUUCGGCAGAGGUAUCGCGGUGGGGGAGUGUGUUGCCGGGGGAUGCCAGUGCACCUACUGUCUUCCAUCUCGUGGUCCUCGAAGCUGAACAAAGAAAACCGCCUAGGUGUAUGACUCUUGCAAUUGUCUGCAAAAUAAAUCCUCAUUUUUAAUUUACCGUACCACUUGGUACGGUCAACAUAGACUACUCCUCCAUGUACUCCAUCUGUCCGAGCACUAUGAUCAUGCGUAUUUGCAUCAAGAUACUUACCAUUUUCAAGGAUAA